rnacentral:piRNA from 1 species
AAAGGGAAAUGAGUUUGAACUGA